rnacentral:pre_miRNA from 1 species
AGGAGGAACAGCCCCAGCCAGCUCUGGAAACCUGGAUUCAGCUCCCGCAGUAAUUCCGGAGCUCUCCGUCUGCAGGGCCUGGAGGCUCAGGGGUGGG